rnacentral:rRNA from 1 species
UACGAGGGGUGCAAGCGUUGCUCGGAAUUAUUGGGCGUAAAGGGUAGGUAGGUGGUCUCAUUUGUCUGGGGUGAAAGCCUUGAGCUUAACUCAAGAAGUGCCCCGGAAACGGUGAGACUGGAGUCCUGGAGAGGGUCGUGGAAUUCCCGGUGUAGCGGGGAAAUGCGUAGAGAUCCGGAAGAACACCAGUGGCGAAGGCGGCCCGCUGGGCAGUGGCUGACGCUGAGGCACGAAAGCUAGGGGAGCAAACAGG